UACAGAGGUCUCAAGCGUUGUUCUGAUUCAUUGGGCGUAAAGGGUGCGUAGGCGGCGCGGUAAGUCGGGUGUGAAAUCUUGGAGCUUAACUCCGAAACUGCAUUCGAUACUGCCGUGCUUGAGGACUGGAGAGGAGACUGGAAUUUACGGUGUAGCGGUGAAAUGCGUAGAUAUCGUAAGGAAGACCAGUGGCGAAGGCGGGUCUCUGGACAGUUCCUGACGCUGAGGCACGAAGGCCAGGGGAGCAAACGGG
rnacentral:rRNA from 1 species